AUUGAACGCUGGCGGCAGGCCUAACACAUGCAAGUCGAGCGGAUGAAGGGAGCUUGCUCCUGGAUUCAGCGGCGGACGGGUGAGUAAUGCCUAGGAAUCUGCCUGGUAGUGGGGGAUAACGUCCGGAAACGGGCGCUAAUACCGCAUACGUCCUGAGGGAGAAAGUGGGGGAUCUUCGGACCUCACGCUAUCAGAUGAGCCUAGGUCGGAUUAGCUAGUUGGUGGGGUAAAGGCCUACCAAGGCGUCGAUCCGUAACUGGUCUGAGAGGAUGAUCAGUCACACUGGAACUGAGACACGGUCCAGACUCCUACGGGAGGCAGCAGUGGGGAAUAUUGGACAAUGGGCGAAAGCCUGAUCCAGCCAUGCCGCGUGUGUGAAGAAGGUCUUCGGAUUGUAAAGCACCUUAAGUUGGGAGGAAGGGCAGUAAGUUAAUACCUUGCUGUUUUGACGUUACCAACAGAAUAAGCACCGGCUAACUUCGUG
rnacentral:rRNA from 1 species